UGUUACUAAAAUAAAAAUAAAACUUAGUUUUAAAGGUUUUUACAGUAGAUUUGCAACUGUACACGUUUUUCAUCGUGUAAUACGUAUAAGCCCAAACACUAACGGUAAUUGGGAUAUUUUCACAUAAUAUUACGCAACAUAAUAACCAUUAAUUUAAUAUAGGUACCUAAAAUAGGAUGCUUAUAAGAGAGCUUGGAGGUUGAAAAUAUCUAUACAGAAUACACACAAGGGUUUAUCUUUGGGUUUAUCUCCUACAUACAGACAAGUGACUAUAUGUCCUUUGGUCAAUAUAGUUUGAGUGUAUUUAAUACCAGCAAAUUCACGAUGCAGAUAACUGAGACCAAAUAAUACACCACACACAAACAGAAUGGUUUUUGAAAAACUUGAAGAAACUAUGAAUCUCAAUAACAUCAAAUAACGGAAUGGAAUAUCUUUAGAAAAACUCGAGCAAAAACUCUGUUCAAAAAUUAUCAUCCACAGUAACUUAAAAUAAAAACUGACGGUCAAAAAUCUAGAGUAUAUUUACAGAACUAAAACCGUACCAUUCUAAGAUGCCAAUGGCCAUGGUUAUUAUAAGUUACUGCUGAUCAUGAUUUUGAAAGUACACUAUUGAAUAACUAUAAUAGAUAUUACAUUAGAUUCGAUUUCAAUGGUGAUAUUGCAUAUCUACAAAAACUGGUUCUAAAAAAAAUGAUUUCAAUAGUACGUCAGUAAACCAACUUUGUGUCAAGAAAUACGUCAGUCUUUGUUAUUUUAAGGUAAAUUGAAUUCGAUUUUUCAACUGCCGCAUUGUCGACAUGUGUUUUUUUUUACAAGGAUUAAGCGAGUGGCGAAUGAUGGAAAACAGAGACCAGCUAGAAGAAUUUUUGAAUAAUGAAAUGAAAUUCUAUAUUUUCAAACGAUGGAAAUUUGUUUUGAAUUACCUAAGCAGUGUUGUGCUGCAGUGAUACUUCCGUUUUUUUUUUUUUUAAUGGGAACUACUCAACAAGUGGAUGAUUAUUCCAAAAUGUUUAUGUCGAUCAAAAAAUCAAAAUUCAUAUUCUUAGCGAAGCUUUAGAUUGGUUGUGCAUUUUUUCCGGUCAACACUUUUCGAGGUCAAAAAGUUUCAUGCAGCAUUUCUUUACAGCAUAAUGGAAAUUGAAAACAGAUUGAUAUGGUACUUCAAGAAAGUAUAAUAAAUGUAAUAUUCUAUAGCAGAAGUUUUCAAGAUAAUCGAAGAAAACCAGUAAAAAAAAUUAGUAAAGAUAUAAAAGUAAGCACUCAUUUUAAAAAACAUUUUGACAUGCUCUUGAUUAAAGUGUAAACUUUGCUCAAAAUCGUUAUUGAUUACACUGCGUUAUUAAUGCAUAGUAUAAGACAAAAUGGUAAUAAUUUAAAUGUAUAUCGUCGUUUUCGAAUAAAAACAAUAUUAUUUUUUAAUUUACAUAGGUAUGCGUUGGGUUUUACGAGGCAUGUACGUAUAAAUCAGUAAAUGUUUAUUUUUCAAUAAAAUAUAUAAUAAAAACCUUACUGGAAAAUGUAAGUAUUUUAGUAUAGGUACUCGGUGAAUUAAUUAACAUGAAUAUGUAACAAAAGGAAUAUUUUAACUAAAAUUGCUAUCAUUUGUAACUCGCCUAUAAUGAAAAUAAACAUGGUAAUUAAAAAUUGAUCGCAUAGAUAUUGUCUACUAUAUAGGUACGAAGGGAAAUUGCCAAUUAUGUACAUUUACUAUUUUAUUUACUAUUAUAAUAUGUCAAUUAAAAACUAUCUGGUAUAAUGAUUUCAAAGCUGUAGACUGGAAUUAUUUUGGUUUAAAUUGCAUUUCAUAAAAUCGGGCCGCGGUAUUGUCAUUGCAGUUUUUAUAAAACUUGAUUUAAAUAUUCGAAAAAAUGUGAACAAUUUUGACGUCAGUGUCGUUUAGGUAUCAAUUUCAAACUCGUAUGUCUGUGGAUCUAUAUGUAUUUAUCAUAUUGUGUAGAUCUGUAGUCGUUUCGUAAAAAUCGAAUUUCUCAGUUUAGUUUCGUAAGUCAAAACAAAUUUAUCUAAGUGAAAUAAUAAUAUCACGGCGAUAUACCUAAAUAAAAUAUUGUGUUGCACACAUAUAUAAUAUCAGAGACGGGUCGCUAUGACCCUUGUCGAUUCGCAUGUAUUGGAAAUUCGGGUGUUUUCGACGCCGCUGCAGCCGAGCUGACAAAAUCGUACCGUCCUACAGUCCCUUCGGUGUACAAAUGUACAAUAGUCAUGUUAUUGUGCCACAGUGGCGGCGAUAGUGUACAGGACGACACGCGUCGAGUCCUGAGUGGGUAUAUUACAAUACAAUUACGAUGUUUGUGUCACUGUCCCACACUAGACCGUCGUAAACACGAAUAUUUACCAAAACGGGGUCGACAACGGUCGGCCGACGCGAUACUUAUACAUCGUAAUUCGUAGGCGUCUCCGGCGGCCGAUUCGGCUCGCCCGUCGCGCGUAAUCCCACCGGUGUGGCCCAUAAAAACCCAUAUAAAAUAUAUAUAGUAUGUUAUAUGUAUUUAUAGGUAUAAGCCAACUAUACCGGAUACUACUAUACGGGCAAUUUUUUAUUUGUCCAAUAUAUUUUUAAUAACCGAAUUAUAUUAUUAUUACACGGAUCCACGACGAAAUAUAUGUCCUCGAAACGUAUAUACAAUAUACAUGUAUACAUUUUCUAUCAUAUAUUUGUACCCUGCUCGAUAGCACUUACCGCAGUACCUAUAUAUGUAUAUAAUAAUAUAUGUAUUAUAUGAUAUUAUGUCUAAACAUAAAACCUUUUUGUUUUGGGCUGUUGUUGUUUUUUUUUUUUUUUUUUUUUAUUGCGAAACGAUAUAAAACCACCCAAAAGAUACUCGCGAUAUGACUUGGAGACGAUAAAAUCCACGUUCGGACAUAUAAAGUUUAAUGUGUGUAAGACAAAUUUGAUAUAAAAAAAAAAUACACGUGUAUAUUAAUGCGACUUUAAUAUAUUAUUAUUAUUAUAAAAACAUUAUUAUCGAGCUGCAAGUGCACAUUAACCAAAUGAUGAUUAUAAUAUUGUAUAGACUAUAAUAUAUUAUAUUAUACUCUAUACAUAUAUACGUGUAUAUGUGUGGGUGUGUAUUUGAAUGCGCCAGUAAAAAAUUAAGUAAUUUAUUAAUUAAGUUAUGUGUGUAAUGUGUAUAAUGUAUAUAUAUAAAAGUGUGAGUCUAACCAUUUUAACCACUUUAAAAAAAAAUUCUUGUUUUCAUUCAUUUGUGUGCACUUUGUACUGUUGAUUAAUAUUUACUCGCCAUCCACUUACACUUAUUCCGCAAACCUUUUAUUGGGUGAAAAUAUAUUUUUUUUAAAUUAUUUUAAAUUGAAUGGGCAUAGAAAUAAAAACAUACACACUUCAAAAAAGUUAUCUUUUAUU